AUUGAACGCUGGCGGCGUGCUUAGCACAUGCAAGUCGAGCGGAAAGGCCUCUUCGGGGGUACUCGAGCGGCGAACGGGUGAGUAACACGUGAGUAAUCUGCCCUUCACUCUGGGAUAGCCACCGGAAACGGUGAUUAAUACCGGAUACGACACGUCCAGGCAUCUGGUGCGUGUGGAAACUUUUUGGGUGGGGGAUGUGCUCGCGGCCUAUAAGCUUGUUGGUGGGGUAAUGGCCUACCAAGGCUUCGACGGGUAGCCGGCCUGAGAGGGUGACCGGCCACACUGGGACUGAGACACGGCCCAGACUCCUACGGGAGGCAGCAGUGGGGAAUAUUGGACAAUGGGCGGAAGCCUGAUCCAGCAACGCCGCGUGAGGGAUGACGGCCUUCGGGUUGUAAACCUCUUUCAGCACCGACGAAGCGAUCCUUUGGGGAGUGACGGUAGGUGCAGAAGAAGGACCGGCCAACUACGUGCCAGCAGCCGCCGCGGUAA
rnacentral:rRNA from 1 species